UUGCAUGCAUUGACAGCCCUUGACCAGUUUGUGGUUGUUCUUCUGGUCUGUACUAGGAUGCAAAAGAAAAGCUCCCUGAGUGUUCUGCCUGCCUCUGUGGCGUUUAGAUUGAAUUGGGAUAUACAUCU
rnacentral:snoRNA from 7 species